rnacentral:rRNA from 1 species
AAGACAGAGGGUGCAAACGUUGUUCGGAAUUACUGGGCGUAAAGCGCGUGUAGGCUGCUCUGCAAGUCGGAUGUGAAAGCCCUGGGCUCAACCUAGGAAGUGCACUCGAAACUGCAGAGCUCGAGUUCUGGAGAGGAAGGCGGAAUUCUCGGUGUAGAGGUGAAAUUCGUAGAUAUCGAGAGGAACACCGGUGGCGAAGGCGGCCUUCUGGACAGUGACUGACGCUGAGACGCGAAAGCGUGGGGAGCAAACAGGA